rnacentral:rRNA from 1 species
AACGAACGCUGGCGGCGUGCCUAACACAUGCAAGUCGAGCGCGAAGCCCCCUUCGGGGGGUAGAGAGCGGCAGACGGGUGAGUAACACGUGGGCAACCUGUCCUUGGGUGGGGGAUAACUACUCGAAAGGGUGGCUAAUACCGCAUAAGACCACGGCCUUUAGGGGUUGCGGUCAAAGGUGCAAAUCGCCUGAGGAGGGGCCCGCGGCCGAUUAGCUAGUUGGUAGGGUAACGGCCUACCAAGGCGACGAUCGGUAGCUGGUCUGAGAGGAUGAUCAGCCACACUGGUACUGAGACACGGACCAGACUCCUACGGGAGGCAGCAGUGGGGAAUAUUGCGCAAUGGGCGAAAGCCUGACGCAGCAACGCCGCGUGGGUGAUGAAGGCCUUCGGGUCGUAAAGCCCUGUCAGAUGGGACGAGCCACCCCGCGAGGGGCCUGACGGUACCAUCGAAGGAAGCACCGGCUAACUCCAUGCCAGCCGCCGCCGUAACAC